GUGCAAACUCGAUCACUAGCUCUGCAUGAUGUGGCAGGAGCUAAGGGAACCAGGUUUGCUAAAGUAAUUGCGGUGAUAGGACUAUAUUAGCCUCAGAAGCUACUGGUGUAGUUUGUUCUAUCCCCAUAUAGUA
ensembl:snoRNA SNORA66 Small nucleolar RNA SNORA66